GGGUGUUUAGCUCAGUUGGUUUAGAGCGUUACCUUGACAGGGUAAAAGUCGGGGGUUCGAAUCCCUCAACACCCACAA
rnacentral:tRNA from 1 species